GAUGAACGCUGGCGGCGUGCCUAAUACAUGCAAGUCGAGCGAACAGACGAGGAGCUUGCGCCUCUGACGUUAGCGGAGGACGGGUGAGUAACACGUGGAUAACCUACCUAUAAGAGGGGGAUAACUUCGGGAAACCGGAGCUAAUACCGGAGAAUAUAUUGAACCGCAUGGGUCAAUAGUGAGAGACGGUGUUGCUGUCACUAAUAGAUGGAUCCGCGCCGGAUUAGCUAGUUGGUAGGGUAACGGCUUACCAAGGCAACGAUGCGUAGCCGACCUGAGUGGGUGGUCGCCCACCCUGGAACUGAGCCGCCGUCCUGACUCCUACGGGAGGGCGCAGUAUGCAAUCUUCCGCAAUGGGCGAAAGCCUUGCGGAGUAAGCCGGCGUCUGUGAUGACGGUCUUCCGAUCGUAAAACUCUGUUAUUAGUGAUGAACCAAUUUGUAAGUUACUAUGCACUGCGUGACGGUACCUGAUCAGAAAGCCCCGGCUAACUACGUG
rnacentral:rRNA from 1 species